rnacentral:rRNA from 1 species
UACGUAGGGACCAAGCGUUGUUCGGAUUUACUGGGCGUAAAGGGCGCGUAGGCGGCGCGGUAAGGCACUUGUGAAAUCUCUGAGCUUAACUCAGAACGGCCAAGUGAUACUGCAGUGCUAGAGUGUGGAAGGGGCAAUCGGAAUUCUUGGUGUAGCGGUGAAAUGCGUAGAUAUCAAGAGGAACACCUGAGGUGAAGACGGGUUGCUGGGCCAACACUGACGCUGAGGCGCGAAAGCCAGGGGAGCAAACGGG